rfam:Bombyx mori DNA, contig: Bm_scaf1820_contig46534, strain: p50T/Dazao, build 2, whole genome shotgun sequence.
UUAACUCAAAUUUGUACGGAGUUGAAACGCUUGCUUACGUUUGCCGCUAGAGGCGCUGUUCGAACUGCAUACAAAUUUGAGUUA